AUCCUGGCUCAGAACUAACGCUGGCGGCGCGCUUAACACAUGCAAGUCGAGCGAGAACGUGAACCUUCGGGUUCGCAAGUACAGCGGCGCACGGGUGAGUAACGCGUGAGUAACCUGCCCCUAAGCUUGGGAUAACAUCGCGAAAGUGGUGCUAAUACCGGAUAAGACCACGAAUACUUCGGGAUAUGUGGUAAAAGUUUGCCUAUUCAUGAAAGCUGACGCUUAGGGAGGGGCUCGCGUUCCAUUAGCUUGUUGGUGGGGUUAUGGCCUACCAAGGCGACGAUGGAUAGCUGGUCUGAGAGGACGAUCAGUCACACUGGAACUGAAACACGGUCCAGACUCCUACGGGAGGCAGCAGUGAGGAAUCUUGCGCAAUGGGGGCAACCCUGACGCAGCGACGCCGCGUGUGUGAUGAAGGCCUUCGGGUCGUAAAGCACUGUCAAGCGGGAAGAACGCUCGUACGUUUAACAGGCGUACUUGUUGACGGUACCGCUGGAGGAAGCACCGGCUAACUCCGUGCCAGCAGCCGCGGNUAAUACGGAGGGUGCCAGCGUUGUUCGGAAUCACUGGGCGUAAAGGGCGCGCAGGCGGUUUGGUCAGUCAGAUGUGAAAGNCCUGGGCUCAACCCAGGAAGUGCANUUGAUACUGUCAUUCNUGAGUACGGGAGAGGGAAGCGGAAUUCCGAGUGUAGAGGUGAUAUUCGUAGAUAUUCGGAGGAACACCGGUGGCGAAGGCGGCUUCCUGGACCGAUACUGACGCUGANGCGCGAAAGCGUGGGUAGCAAACAGGAUUAGAUACCCUGGUAGUCCACGCCGUAAACGGUGAGAACUAGGUGUAGCGGGUAUUGACCCCUGCUGUGCCGUAGCUAACGCAUUAAGUUCUCCGCCUGGGGAGUACGGCCGCAGGGUUGAAACUCAAAGGAAUUGACGGGGGCCCGCACAAGCGGUGGAGCAUGUGGUUUAAUUCGACGCAACGCGUAGAACCUUACCUGGCCUUGACAUCCCCUGACAUCCAUAGAAAUAUGGCUUUCCCUUUUGGGACAGGGUGACAGGUGUUGCAUGGCUGUCGUCAGCUCGUGUCGUGAGAUGUUGGGUUAAGUCCCGCAACGAGCGCAACCCUUAUCUUUAGUUGCCACCAUUGAGUUGGGCACUCUAGAGAGACUGCCUGGGUUAACCAGGAGGAAGGCGGGGACGACGUCAAGUCAUCAUGGCCCUUAUGGCCAGGGCUACACACGUGCUCAAUGGCCGGUACAAAGGGUCGCGAUACCGCAAGGUGGAGCCAAUCCCAAAAAGCCGGUCUCAGUCCGGAUUGGAGUCUGCAACUCGACUCCAUGAAGUUGGAAUCGCUAGUAAUCGCGGAUCAGCAUGCCGCGGUGAAUACGUUCCCGGGCCUUGUACACACCGCCCGUCACACCACGAAAGCUGGUUGUACCAGAAGCCGUUGGGCUAACCCCCGGGAAGCAGACGUCUAAGGUAUGAUUGGUGAUUGGGGUGAAGUCGUAACAAGGUAGCCGUAGGGGA
rnacentral:rRNA from 1 species